rnacentral:lncRNA from 1 species
AUUGCCCACUGGCCCUGUUACUCUUGUAACUAAAAUAAGCAGAUUUAUGGUACAGAAGAGCCUAUGCUAUAUGGCAGAGGUAGGAAAACCAAGUCUGACCAUGAAAGGCAAUUCUUGGAAGAAUAUUACGUUCCUUGUUUCUGUACCAUUUCCAACAUGGCGUUCUCCCUGUGACUGUACUCCGAAUGGUAAUUUCUAACAUGUCCAGGUCUUAGUCCCUGGAACCUGUGAAUAUGUUACCUUACUUGGCAAGAGGAACUUUACAGAUGGGAUUAUGUUAAGGAUCUUAAAACAAGGAGAUUAUCCUGGAUUAUCCACGUGGGCCUGGUGUCAUCACAAAGAUCCUUCUAAGUGGGAGGAGAAAAUCCUUUUGCCCAACUGGUGAUGGAGAAAAAACUCCACAACAGAAGAGAAACCCAUCCCACUUCUCAAGGACAUUGAGAGAUGUAGUUGGGGAAAAGGAAGUCAGCCUCGGGCUCCGGGUGCUGGAGGUCAGCAAGGCUUACUGUCGGGGGUCCUCAGUCUGAGCCCCAAUCUCUUCUCCAACUGUCCUAGGAAAGCUGUGCUGUGGAAGUAGGGAGGAGGAGUGAUCAUGUUCCCGCCUGGACUUCAGGACCUGGCCUGAGGACAGGUCAGAAGAGGAGGGUCUCCAUCACUAUUUUACAUUUUAAAAAAUUCUUCACAUCCCGUUAACAUUUCUCACGUACAGAGACAGCACAGUCUCUGGAGUUAGAGACAGUUUCAAGUCAUAGGUCCCCACUUAGCCGGGGUGUAACCUUGGCAAGUCACUUGGCCUGGAUGAGAUCCCACUUCAUCUGCAGAAUGUGGAAAACACCUACCCUGCAAAUCGUUGGGAAGAUAAAAAUAAUAUGUGGAAAAUAAGAAGCACUCAAAUGAUAGCUGUAUUAUUUAUAAUCAAGAAAACAGAGAGGCAGAGUGGAUUUCUCAAGUCGGGCCCCUGGUAAAUGGUGGAACCAAGACCCCGUCCUCAACCCAAGUCUUCAGUUUCUCCCCCAAAGGCCCUUCACUCCCCAGAACCUUCUGCGGCCAGGCCUGGGCCCUCCAAGGCAAAGCUUCCCCACCCG